GGUCGCGGCUUUUCCGUAAAUAAAAUAAUAAAAUUCUGAUAAUACAUAUUUUUUUAAACACUAAUGGCGUUCCUCUACUUACCUUGAAAACGGCGUUUCUAAAUUUCUACUGGUUUUCGAGAUACUGCAGUUAGAUAUUACAGGGUCAUGCCAUCAGGACCAAGAUAUCAACUUGGAUACGUGAUUAUGGAACUUUUACUACAUUAUCAAUUGGUAGACAAAACAAUGACAAGCUUGUAGUCAACAGAAUAAAAUUUAUGUAAAAUAUUAAGUUUAAGUGCAUCUGCCUUGCGUCGUACGUGUGCGCUCCGUUUACUCGCCAUAUUUUAAGUAACGACCGUUAAAAGCACAUUAAAUUUACAUGUUCAUAAAUAUAAUAUCUUAAAUAUACAUUUACUAUUUACUAUACUAUUUACGUCGUCCACCAGCACUUAAAAUUGGGUUAGGAAAAUUUAAAAGCCAAAUUUAUCUCUCGCUGUAUGAACGCACAUUAUACAUUUACAAAAAGAAAAUAACAGUUUCUUACUUGUGGAAACUUAAUCCACCACAACUGCCGAAUCUAUUAGUGCAACCAAAAGCUGCACAAGCUUUCACCAUUACGUAUAUUCAGCGAAAAAUUAAAACGGUGCCAUUCAAAAUAAUGUAAACAUUGGCGUUUUUGCCACCUUUAGCUCUAUCCUUGUCUUUCAACAUCGUCUGCUAGGAUGCUUCAAGUUUGGUUAUACGCUUCCACUCCAUAGACUAUUACCUCCAUGGGUACAGGCUUCAUUGAUUACCCUUAAAAGUACGCCUGCUUCCACUCCAUAGACUAUUACCUCCAUGGUGCGAACCAGAGUGAGCACCGGCGGUUGGCGUCAAUAUGUAACUGAGAUAUACAAAUUAUUACUUAGCACGGUAAAUAUUUCUGAUAUAUUAUCAAAUAUCUUUUUUGUAACCUACUUUAUUAAUAUUUCUGAAAUAUAACUGAAAUAUGUAAUUUGUUACAUAACAUGUGCGAUGUUUCUGAGAUAUAAAUGUGUCGUAUCUUUUGUAAUAUGUAUGUUCAUGAUAUUGGCGCCAAAUAAGUUUUUGUUUUGGUUUGGUAAUGUGAAGUAGGUGAAGUUUGUUAACUUUAGUUUGAAAUCAGUGUUUUUCAUUAAUAGUUAUAUCUUACACGGGCAUGGUGGAAAACCUGCAGGUUGUUGGGGCAUCCAACAUGCUCCGACUAUUGCAGAAGGAAGGGGCAGAGGUGGAGUAUUUUAAAGACAGUGCUACAGAGAAAGUGAAGAGGAAAAUUGGCGCCUGCGUGGCUGGACACACAAUCCAGCAGACAUACAACCAGUUGAAGAGGAUGGAGUACAGUGCCAAACUCCUCAACAAUUUGGCUCUUCUGGUUGGUGUUAAUGACAUUGUGAGAGGAGGGGAUUUAAAGAAAAUGAAGUUGAGAAUGAAGGGGCUGCUGAGAUUUCUAGUGUUUCGCAACAAAAAAGUUUUUCUGAUCACCAUUCCCCCGUUCAGGAGGAUUGUGGGGAAUGGUGAAUCCAGAGACAAGCUUACAGCUGGAAUAACUACCUGCGCCAAGAAUCCCAAGUUGCACAGAGCACUGGUCGUCGGCAGAGAGUGUUUAUCAUGGACUUUGCUUCAGUGGCAUCUCGGUGCAGGAAUAUUUACGAAAGAGAUGGUCUUCAUCUCUCUUGGCAAGGCCUGAAUAUGCUAAGAGAUUCACUGAAGAAAGUUUCAAGGAAUGAGUUGCGAGACGCCGGCCACAAUCCCAGUGAAGUGUCCAUCGACACAUUGUCGGAUGUUACUGAGGAGGUGGUCAGGCGUGGGAUUGCAACUAGGUCUUUCUGGGAGGCCAGCACUCAAGAACAGGAUCUGGAUGUGGUGUGCUCUCCAAAUAGCUCAACUUCAAGUGUGUACUACUCUUGCUCAGAGUAGCUCAGGUGCCACAGCACUGAAAAUGGCUUGUUCAUCAGUCGGUAUGGACAAGGCACCAAGAGGAGGCUGGAUGAGCCGUCACCAUCAGCUAAUGCCACCUACUUGAAGAUUCAUAUAACUUAUGAAGAAAAGUGUUUUAUCUCCAAGGGAUGGCUAGCAUGUACAGUAGAACCUCAUUUUUACGUACCCGUGAUACACGAAUUCCCAAGAUUAACGUACUUUUUUACUUGCGCCGUCAAGUUUCCUAUACUAUUGAAUAGUUAUUUGCUCUGGAGUAAUAAAUAAUAAUAAUAAAUAAUAGUUCUCUGAAUAGUUACUACUAUUCUUUAUAUUAAUCUUACUAGAGUGUAUUUAUGGUUUUGCUGUAGAUAAUAAUAAACCACGUUGGUGAACACUCUGAGUAUUUACUUUUUAGUAUAUGUAGAUUCUUUGAUUAUUUUGAAUUGUUUCUGGGCGCCACUCUUAUGUAAAACUUAACCUCGUUAUCAGGAUAGGACAAGUGUAGUGUAAUACAUAAGAGAAAAAGAAAUAAUAUAACACUUCAGAUCUAGGGUUGGUAUAAGAGUGACAACAUGUAAUUUAGGGUCAUUAAAAACAAACAUAUAUACUGUAAAGUAAUAAUAGAAUAAAAUAGAGUUAAACAAAUAAUCUUUAAUCAGACAAAAAUAUAGAUAAUUAUUGGUUUGACCAGUGGUAUACUCUUAUGUUUUCAAAUAAACAGGAGAUAUGUUGCACACAUGAUAAAAUACAACAAAAGUUCAUAAAUUCAAAUUAUCGUGUCUGUUGCUCUCACUCUAGAUCGAAUUUAUUGUGUUAAAAUAUAGUUUAUUAUCUUUGUCAUUUAAUUUAAAUUAGUGUACCUCGGCUGAAUUCAGUAUGUAGGUAUGGUAGAACAUCAUGAGAACUCCGUCUCAUUUCACCUCUGGGUUAGAACUAAGAACGUGUAAAUCAGAAUGGUAAAUGCAGAGAUGCCAAGUACUACGGAUUUCGUUACUUGACUACGGCAAUACAGAUGGUAGGUUAAAACUUCAGAUUUAAUGCAUUUUAUGGUUUUUCGGUUUGUUUACAUCACGCUGCAGCAGUAUGCGGUAUGUUGUGUCCGUGGUUCCAUAGAUAUAUGCAUGUGUAAUGUCACACUUGUGAAACAAAAUGCCCAUGACUCACGUUUCGUAACAUUUUAUUUUCAAGUGUCCAGUAAUGACUCAAUAUAUCUAUGCCAUUUCGUUUUGCUUUGUUAUUUUCCGGUGUGUCGGUUAGGUUAUGUGUGUAUUGAUUCCGUGUGUAUGCUACACAACAUUUGGCGUGUUAUUUGCGAUAUAAUGACAGAAAAUGUCGAAACGUAAAAGUUCUAUCACUGAAAAUAUGUGCGAGCCUUCAAGUUGGAAGAAAUCUAGCGGGCGGCUACCGAAUCAGCAGUAUCGGAGAUCUUACACGGAAGAAUAUCCAUGCCUACAAUCUUCAAAAACAUCUACAAACAAAGUGUUUUGUGAGACGUGCAAGUGUGAUUUUUCUGUAAAACACUGUGGGCGCGAUGAUUGUAGGCGUCAUGUCGCAUCCAAAAAACAUUAAGAAAAUGGUAGCCUUAGAGGUCAGUGUAAACCACUUACCUCUUUUUUCACAUCUGCUGAAGACACAAGUGUUAUUUCACACGAUUUCUCAUUGAACACAAUUUGCCGUUAUCAGCAGCUGAUCAUGCAAAACCGUUAUUUAAAGCAAUGUUUCAUGACUCAAAGAUAGCAGACAAAUAUUCGUAUGGGAGAACAAAAACCACCGCAAUUGUGAAGAGCAUGUCUGAUGAAACUGUGGCAGGUAUCGUAAAUAGGAUUCAGAUUGCACCCUUUUCUUUGGCAACAGACGGUAGCAAUGACAAUAACGAUUGUAAAUUGUAUCAUUUUGUGGUUACAUAUUAUUGUGAAGUAAAGGAACAGGUUAUGACACUUCAGCUUUACUCGUUGAGUGUUUUGACAACACAGGGGAAGGAAUAUUUAAGAUAUUAGACAAAGAGUUGAAAAGUAUGUCAUUGAAGUGGGAAAAUUGUGUGUCAUUUGGAUGUGAUAAUGCCAACACCAUGAUUGGUAAGAAUAAGGGUAUUCUUGCAUUUCUGAAGCAGCAGCAUCCUGCAAUGAUAAUACAGGGCUGUGUGUGUCAUCUGCUUCAUUUGGCAUCAAAGAAAGCAACAAAAGCAACAAAACAUUGGAAUUGGCUUUCAACGUUGAAUCAUUCUUGGUAGAUGUAUAUUUUUAUCUUGAAAAGAGCUCUAAAAGAAAAAUGCAUUUGAAAGUUUGCCAAGAGAUGUGUGGACCUGAACUUAAAAGCCAUAAGAUAAUGAAGCAUGUUAGCACUAGGUUGUUAUCUCUCACUGAAUCGGUAAAGAGGGUUUUAGAGCAAUGGGAAGCACUGAAGAUAAUGUUUCAUGUUGGGGAAGAUGCCAAUGCUAGUGAAAACCAUGACAGUAGAUUUAUUGGUGUGAAAACUGUGAUGGAAAGUGGCCCUUCAAAACUGUAUCUUUUGUUUUUGAAAAACAUCCUACCAGCUUUCAUCAAAUACAAUGUAAUGCUACAGCAAGAAGCUCCAUACAUACACAAAGUUGCUAGACUACUAAAUUCUUUGCUCAUGGAUUUACUAGUGAGGUUUAUCAAAUCUGAUUCUUUGGGAAAUCAGUCUGAAAGUGGUUUGAAUUUUCUUGCAGAUAUAAAUGUUGUGAACAGAAAAAUUCAAAAACAUAAUGAUGACCUUGUGAUUGGUGUUGCAACAAGGCAGUACAUGAAACAGGCAAGUACAAUUGGGUCUUUGUCUGCUGAUGACAUUAACAAGUUUUAUAAAUGUGUGAGAAAUUUCUAUGCUGCAGCAUGCACAUAUAUUUUUGACCCUGUUUUGAAACAUGCAGAAGUUGUGGAUAUUUCAACAAGAAGUACUGUUUCAUUUUCAUCAGUACUUUUCUUUGUUGACUUAUUUCCAAACGUAUUUUCUAGCUGUGAUUAAGAUAGAUUGGAAGUUGAGUUUUCUUUCUACCAGGGAGAUCCCCUAAAUGAAGACAUUUUGCAGACAGAAAGAAUGGAUAUUGCAUGGGCAAAAAUGUCCAAAUUAAAGGAUGCAUCAGGGUGUAACAAGUACAAAGAACUUCCUAAGGUUAUGCUUACAGUGCUUGUUAUACCACACAGCAAUGCUGCGACUGAGCGCAUAUUCAGCAUUGUUCGCAAAAACCAUACAGACUUCCGAAGCAACUUGAAUACAAAGACUCUUAGUGCACUGUUGGUGGAAAAAACAAACAUGGUGUCAUGCUCUGAACUAUGUUAACAAAAACACUUUUCAAAGGACCUAAUGAGCGCCGAACAAGCAACAAAAAAUAUGCUGCAAGACAAAUAAGUAGUAAUGGUUUUAUGGUUACAAUUCAGCUCGGAUCGUGCGUACACAUUUAUCUAAUUUAAAGUAAGAGUAUAUUAAGUUCUUUAAAUGUUUUUCUGAUAUGUAUUUUGAGUGAAUAUUUUCUCUAAAUUGCAAGUUACCUUUAAUUUGAGGCCGUGUUUGGAUUGUUUUAUGUGUUUAGCAGACAUUAUUUGUUCAAAUACGGUAUCAACCCUCCCCAGUCUCCUAAUGGCAUUUCCACCAGGAAAAUGGUUUAAAUAGCACCAUUUUGCACUUACUAAACAAAAUUUUCCCUCGGACCUUCCCCCCCCCCCCCCUUUUUUUUUUUUCACUCUUUAUUAUGCCAAAUGUUGCUCACUACUGACAGGCACUCCACAAGGUUGGCAUCUCUGUAAUUGUCUUAAAAAUUGUUUAUCUCUGCAGGGCUUUACUGUGUUCGACACAAAAUCAAUAUUUAUAUGCGUGUUGGCAGGAUCAAAUUACGUAUAUGCCGAAAUACGGUCUCUUCAAAGUAGCAUUAUGAGUCAAUUUUACUCAUGUUAAUUUCACACAGAAUUACACAUCAUAUAGGAUGUGCCCUAUAUAAAUUACAUAUAAUUAUGUUUAAACGGCGAUUAAAAACAUCCCUUCAACUGGAUGAUCUAUUUAGCUCGUAGAAUUAUCAUAUUUUCAAGGGGAUUGAAACCCAGGCUGUCUAGCCAACGCUGCAGUCAUUCCAAACUUUUUUCUUAACUUAAUUAAUGAUGCUUAACUUAAGCAACAUGGCCUCUCAUUGGCCGAGACACAAAGAUCGUUGACUUAAUUAACACAUCAAAACAAAAUACAGACAUUCAACAGUACAUCUUAAAAUACUAAAAUGUCCCAAAUUUAAAAAGUGAUUUUUCAACAAUGAAAGUUCUUUUAUGCAAAUUACGUGCAAAAAGUUCAAUUUGCCGUUUAAGUCAUUAUUUCCCUAGAGGGGUCUUGCUAAUUGAGGCUUCAAAGUCACUUGGGCUACGCCAUAGAGUGUAACACUCGUAGAUACAUCCAACUAAACAACAAUAGAGCAUAGACAUGAAAAUGUAAACAAAUAAUAAUAAUUAUAAUUAAAAAAUGUUAUUUAUAAUAAAAACAAUACACUUUCUGUGCACGGAAUAUUCAUGUAACAGCACAGAAUUGCCGCUCUUGAUAAGCAUAGUGUGCUGCCGCUUUAAAAUUUUUUAAACAAAGCACAGUAUGUUUUUCAGUUGAAAACUCGCUGCUCGAGUUAAAUAAAAAAUAAGUUCGUUGCCAGGCAACGUCUCGCGCGAACCACAAAAGGGCGAAAAGAAAGAGGGUGAAAAAAAACUUUGGCGCGAGAAAGGACACCUGUCCCGCACCCCUCUUCCUGACUCGUGGACGAUUCCCCUCAUUGCGCGGCACUCCGUUAUAGAGUUCAGACCUGCGCUUGCCGUCAGUGCAUUUUCGCGGGAUAACUUGCAAUCUUGUUGAAGUUCUCGUAGUCGUCAGUCCUGGAACUAAGUUGGAUGCAGUGGCACUCGGAGGACAAUACUCACGGUAUGUAUACGUCGCAAUGCAUUGUCAAGUAUUAUUCUACGCAUUUAUAUUAUGUAAAGAUUACCUACAAUCUUGGAACACAUGAGAUAAUUUAGCCUUAUUUUUAUGGGGACUAAUGCUUCAGAAUACGCGAUUUCGAAUAACACGAACAUUUUUAGGAACACAUUAGUCAUGCUAAGUGAGGGAUUGGUGUAUUUUCCCGACUUAUGCGAAAGCAUUUAUUGUUGUUUACGUUGUAAAAGCACUGUAUUUCAUAGCAGACAAUUGGAAAAAUUAAAAUGGAACAAUAAAUUCUGAAAAUGAAUUGCAUGAAGUGUAAUUAUUAUGCGCCACUGCAUAAGUGUGCGGUCACCCCAGCAGCUUCGUUCACUGUUGUAAACAUCUUACUUUUUUUGUAGGGAUGGGACGAAUCCACAUUUUGAUCGAAUCUCGAAUCCCAGUCCCACACUAAACUUCACCACAUGUUAUUUAAAAAAAAUCACAUGUAUAUUUAUAAAAUUUUAAAAUAAGUGCAUAGUGUAUACACCUGAUAUAAAAUAGAGACAAAUAACCUCAAAAACCACACACGUAUGUUUGCAUCUGUCUAAUUCUCUGUUAAAUUAAUCCUUCCUAUGUUUUCAAUAAAAUACUUUUGUAUAACAGGCACCAUUUAAAAAAAGUUACGUUUUUUUCUGCAAUGUUAUAUUAUUGAAGGUUGGAAAUGAUCGAGUAGUUAUGCUAAUUGACAAAAUGCAGUGUAGUUUAUCUUAUGUUUGUGCUAUUUUCGUUACCUUUAUAAUAUAGUUUUGGGUAUACAAUUUUCUAGAGCUGGACGAACCUCUGUUCUCUGGUUUCGAACUGAAUAGAACCAUAGCAAAAAAAUUUUGAACCGAGCCGAGCCGAACCGAACCUCAUACAAAAAUAAUUGUUUUGAAUUAAAAUGAACCGACCACCAGCAUUUUGGUCUUUAACUGAAUGGUCCAUAUCUGCCAACUUGUACGAUUUUCCCGUAAUUUGUACGGAAAAUAAUUCAUAUUACGAUUGUACGGAAAUCCGGAACAUCUUACGAUUUUUGUCCGUUCAAAAAUGCAGUAUAAUAUUUUAGUGCCCAUAUAAAUGUACCGUUUGAAAAGCAUUUGUUAUUGUUUAACAACAUGGCGUCCGCGAUAAUAUGAGAAUAAUGGAGUCUGAGAAAAAUUGUUCCGAAAAGAAAGUAAUUUUUGUAAGUUUCGUUGGUACACAGCAGGCUGGAUGGCAACUGAUCUUGCGAAUCUUUUGUGCGGAAGAGUCAUGAAAGUAAUUUUUGUGAGUUUUGUUGGUACACAGAAGGUUGGCUGGAGACGAGUGAUAACGAUUUAAACCGUUUAUGUACGAGUGCGGUAAAUAUUUUAUAUAUUAGCGCUUGUACGAAAUGUAAGAUAAUAUGAUUUCAUAAUGGCUACGAGUAGUAAAAAAACAAUAUGGACAGGUGAUUCGGUCAUCUUACUCAGAACUAUUUCUUUUCAUUACUAAGAGUGAAAAAGGCUCUAAUUUUGCGUUUUGUAGUGUUUGUCGUUGCGACAUUGUUUCCCAUGGCGGCAAGCACGAUAUUUCCUAUCACGUCGAGAGCUUGAAACAUGCAAAUAACACGAAUAACGUGAACCAUAACAGUGACAGUGAUGAAUGUGAUUAGGGCGGAAUGUUAUUUUACAAGCUUUUUAGUGGAACAUACCUUCCAUUCAGCAUCGCCGACCACGCCGGGCAUUUGUUUCGAAAAAUGUUCCCAGGGUCUGAUAACGCAAAAAUAUACAGCUGUGGGCGCACUAAAACUGCAGCAAUAGUAAAAUAAAUGGCUUCCAAUACUCCUACUUCAGUAGUAAAGUGCUUGCAAAGUGGCCCAUAUACACUAGCUAUUGAUGGAAGCAAUGACACAAGUAAUAAGUUAUAUCCUCUCGUGGUAACUUAUUACAACCCUGACUGCAGGUUAGUAACUAGUUGUGUUUUGGCCAUACCUUCAUUGGAAGGUGCUUCUACUGGUAAAAAUAUUGGGCAGUUAUUGCUAUCAGAACUUGAAAGUAUGAAUGUGCCAAUUCAUAAUUGUAUAGGUUUUGGCUGUGAUAAUGCAGCAGUUAUGGUUGGAGUUAAAAAUGGUGUUAUUUCUGUAUUAAAAGAAAAGCAGCCAAAUUUAGUAAUCAUAGGUUGUCUGUGCCACUUAAUUAAUUUGGCUGCAGAAAAGGCUUCUGCAAGUUUGCCAGUGAGGGUGGAAGAAAUACUUGUAGACAUUUAUUACUUUUUGGAAAAAAGCUCCAAAAGAAAGGAAAGGCUGCGUGACUUUCAAGGUCUCCAUGAUAAAGAAGCUCAUAAGAUCCUGAAGCAUGUGUGUACGAGAUGGCUGUCUUUGGGAAGAUGUCUAGCUAGGAUUAUUGAACAGUGGGAACCUCUUGUAAGUUUUUUCAAAAAUGAGGUUACAGGGAGUUCUCAGAAACAGCCAGGCACAUUAUCAUCAUACAAGAUCCCAAAAAAAACAGCAAGGGCCAUCCAGCAGAACUACUGAAAGUAGUGCUAGUACCGGUAAAAGAAAGAAAGAGGACAACCCUUCUGAUGUGAAAAAACAGAAAAAGGAAUAUUGUUGUUCUGUUUUAAAAAGUGACAGUGCAAUGUUGAAGAGUAGCAGUCCUGCCCUGAGUCGUGAAGAGUAACUUUUCAUGUUUUUAUCUUCUUCACUAAACAAGGCAUUCUGUUUAUUUUUGCUGAAUGUUGUACCGGUCUUUGAUAAACUAAAUGUAACACUUCAGUCUUCAAGUCCACACAUCCAUGUAUUGUUAGAUCUCCUGCAAGAUUUUCUGAGAAAUCUCUUAUUGCAUUUUGUUUGUGGUAGUGCUGUGAAAGGUGUGGCGUUGUUGGAAGUUGAUUACCAUUGUGCAGCCAAUCAAAAGUGUGACAGUGAGUUAAUGAUUGGAUGUCCGGCUGAGAGAAUUGUUAGUUUGUUGUCAGAUGAGGAGAAAAAAGUUUUUUUCCAGCUGUCAGAAAAUAUUUUACCUCAGCAUGUGAUUAUGUUGUACAUAAGUUUCCCAUGAAGAGUGAAGUUCUUGUCAAUGCUCAAGUAGCAAAAAUAAGUGACAUCAGUAAUGCGAAAUUUGCAAAUCUGAAAUAUUUAAUUGAUUUGUUUCCUUUCAUACUGCCAGUCAGAGAUGGUGAAGGCAUUGAUGGUGCAAUGGAUGAACUGCAUAGGCAGUUUGCAGCAUUGCAAGUUGAAGAUCGCACUGUUGUAAUAAAUAAGAAAGAGAGAAUUGAUAAUAUAUGGACUUAAGUAGGAAAUAUGCUCACUGUUGAUGGAAAAUUAAAAUAUGACAGAAUUUCAGAAACUGUUUUGUCGAUACUUUUGAUUCCCCAUAGCAAUGCGGAGUGUGAGAGAAUGUUCAGUAUUACAAAAAAAAAAAGAACAGAAUUUAGGUCAUCGAUGAGCAACAGAACAGUGCAGGAUAUAACCAUUUUGAAGAGUGGAAGCUCACCAGUUUGCUACAAACAAGUUUUUAGUGAUGAUUUUUUAAAAAGAGCUAAACAUGCUACUGUACAGUAUCUGCAGAAUUCCAGUGCAGUCAAGUGGUCGUAGGGAAUAACUUACUGUUUUUUUCCUACACUGUGUGUUUGUGUGGCAGUUUUUUGUACAUAUUAACAUUAACUCGAACUACGUUGGCAAGAAGUGAUUUUUUUUUCUGAACUGAUAGUAAUGACAUGCUCUAAAGUGAACUUAAUUUUAUGAUUUGUGCUCCAAAGGGGAGAAACUAAAGGACUUAUGAUAAAGGCCUAUCUCGGUAAGAAAAUAUAUAUACAUUAACUUGUGUACAUGUGUAUUAAAUCAUUUAGUUUGCAUUCAAGCUGUUAAGUUUUAAUAAAUAACAUUAACUUGUUAUUUAACUUUCGUAUUUUGGGUAGAAACGUGGUGUUAUCAAUGCAAAAUAAACACAUGUUUUCCGGAUCACUUAUUUUAAACAUCGCGCCUGAUUUACACUAUAGAUUUGUUAAUUUGGACAUCUUACUGCUUGCACUCCUAACAAGUUGGCAGGUAUGGUGAGAAAGAAAGGUUCUACAGCCAUAUGUAAAAUUAAACCAUUAUAUAGUGUGCCGGAAAUUAGGCAUUUCGUCACUUUUUUUUUUAAUUUUUUCUAUAAUUUUAAAAUUUUUUGGGGUUUCUAUUUUUUUUAAAUUUAUCUGGUUGUUAAUGGGGGUGAUUUACUUUUGUUAGGCCGGUGUACGCCACGGAUUUAAACUUUGUGCCAGUGGACCGAAGCCCCUUCCCAGGGGGCCAAUCUGAUAUUUUGCUGUCUAAUGUGGACAUGGUCAGCCCGGUUGAAAUUUCUCUCGCCUGCAGUCACGUCCCGAGUUUGUAAUUUUAAUUCCCUGCAUGACCAAAACUGCUUUGAGCAGCUCCGGGGCUGCAAGCUGCUACCUUGUAGAGGCCUGCUGAGAAAAGCAUGUCUCGUCACGAAGCAGUCUCCAGUGGAGCUGCGUUCCCACCUUAGUGGCUAUUUCUGCCCCCCCUUUCUCUCUCUCCUCCUCACUUCAGUUCUGAGAAAUUAGGCUAGGAGCAGUGACCGGACGGGACGAUGACCUGAUGCAAAAACCUUCUCCCGGGUACGACAGACUCAUCCCCGACAUCUAGCGGAGAAAAAAAGUAACCGCGGGCCUGGUCGCCAGCGUGCAGAGGUUACCCUCAUGACACCUGGUGGCAAGUCUGCUCACCACCUCAAGUAGUUCCCCCUUACGCCGCUAGAAGGCAGCGUCGCGGUGCCAUAAGGCACUAUGCUUUCCUCUCGCGGCCCGGAGAAGUCGAUUGUUCUUUGCUUUCGUUUAGGUCCGGUAGAGAGCGCGCAUGUCGUGUUGUUGUCACGACCGCCUCGGACUCCUUCGGAAAUUUUCGGCUUAGAACCGAACCUACCCCCUCCUUUGACCCGGGGCCUUACCGCCCGAUUUAAUUAGGUGCUUUGGCCGAUUGCGGGGCACUCAGCCCUCUGACCUCGGCUACUGACCUAGUCUCCUCUACGUCCUCUGGGCUAAGAGGCUUUUUGCGGGAACGGUGAUUUUCGCGUGCACGAGAAUGUAGUCAGUUUGCUUAAGGGAUGUGAUCCCGUUUGUACAGUAGCCAGGCAGAGGUAGUUUUUAGAAAAGUCAUGCGUAGUUAAAUUUUUAUUUCUUCUUAUUUAAUUCUAAAAAUUCCGGUUUCGUCCGCGCAUCCUGACUUCUCGGUCCGCGGCAUCCUGUUGUCGGCGCGAGACACCUAGUGAGCUCCGAACUCUACACCCUGGUUGGUGAGUUAUCCUUUUUUCUUCUCCCCAAAUUCCCGUUUUUUGGCCUUUUGCGCCGACGGUGUAGGACUGUCUGGAAGCAAGUCUAAUUCGUUUUGAAUUUGAUUUGGGUUUCAGACAGGGUCGAAGUGCUGGAGAGACAAAUUGCUCCCAGCUCGUGGUCCUGCACCUCCACUGCGGGUCACGUUAGAAGAGAGGUUUCCGCGACCCGACGUUAUUUUUUGAA